rnacentral:tRNA from 1 species
GCGGACAUAGCUCAGUUGGGAGAGCGUCAGACUGAAGCGGAUUACGAUCCGAGAAACUUCAUUCAAUCAAUCUGAAGGUCGUGUGUUCAAUCCACACUGGCCGCA